AUUGAACGCUAGCGGGAUGCUUUACACAUGCAAGUCGAACGGCAGCGCGGACUUCGGUCUGGCGGCGAGUGGCGAACGGGUGAGUAAUGUAUCGGAACGUGCCCAGUAGCGGGGGAUAACUACGCGAAAGCGUAGCUAAUACCGCAUACGCCCUACGGGGGAAAGCAGGGGGUCGUAAGACCUUGCACUAUUGGAGCGGCCGAUAUCGGGUUAGCUAGUUGGUGAGGUAACGGCUCACCAAGGCGACGAUCCGUAGCUGGUUGGAGAGGACGACCGGCCACACUGGAGCUGGGACACGGCCCAGACUCCUACGGGAGGCAGCAGUGGGGAAUUUUGGACAAUGGGGGCAACCCUGAUCCAGCCAGCCCGCGUGUGAGAUGAAGGCCUUCGGGUUGUAAAGCACUUUUGGCAGGAAAGAAACGUCGCGGGCUAAUACCCCGUGGAACUGACGGUACCUGCAGAAUAAGCACCGGCUAACUACGUG
rnacentral:rRNA from 1 species